rnacentral:rRNA from 1 species
UACGUAGGGUGCGAGCGUUAAUCGGAAUUACUGGGCGUAAAGCGUGCGCAGGCGGUUCGUUGUGUCGGUGGUGAAAUCCCCGGGCUUAACCUGGGAAUGGCCAUGGAAACUGGCGAACUGGAGUGCGGCAGAGGGGGGUGGAAUUCCGCGUGUAGCAGUGAAAUGCGUAGAUAUCAGGAGGAACACCGAUGGCGAAGGCAGGUCUCUAGGCUGACACUGACGCUCAUGCACGAAAGCGUGGGGAGCAAACAGG